rnacentral:rRNA from 1 species
UGGGGAAUAUUGGGCAAUGGGCGCAAGCCUGACCCAGCAACGCCGCGUGAAGGAUGAAGUAUUUCGGUAUGUAAACUUCUAUCAGCAGGGAAGAAAAUGACGGUACCUGACUAAGAAGCCCCGGCUAACUACGUG